GAUGAACGCUAGCGGCAGGCCUAAUACAUGCAAGCUGAACGGUAAAUAUUGUAGCAAUACGAUAUGAGAGUAGCGUAAGGGUGCGUUACACGUAUGCAAUCUACCCGCAACAGGAGGAUAGCUCCCCGAAAGGGGAAUUAAUACUCCAUAAUAUCACGAGAGGGCAUCUGAUUGUGAUUAAACUCCAAGGGGUUGCGGAUGAGCAUGCGUCUGAUUAGUUAGUUGGUGAGGUAACGGCUCACCAAGACGAUGAUUGGUAGGGGAACUGAGAGGUCAAUCCCCCACACUGGCACUGAGAUACGGGCCAGACUCCUACGGGAGGCAGCAGUAGGGAAUAUUGGGCAAUGGACGCAAGUCUGACCCAGCCAUGCCGCGUGCAGGAAGAAGGCGUUCUGCGUUGUAAACUGCUUUUAUAUAGGAAGAAACGACCCUUGCGAGGGGCACUGACGGUAUUAUAUGAAUAAGCACCGGCUAACUCCGUGCCAGCCGCCGCGGUAAGAC
rnacentral:rRNA from 1 species